CCUACGGGAGGCAGCAGUAAGGAAUAUUGGACAAUGGGGGCAACCCUGAUCCAGCCAUGCCGCGUGAAGGAUGAAGGGCUCUGCGUCGUAAACUUCUUUUACUCGAGAAAUUGUACCGAGAGAAUAAGGACCGGCUAACUUCGUGCCAGCAGCCGCGGUAAUACGAAGGGUCCAAGCGUUAUCCGGAUUUAUUGGGUUUAAAGGGUGCGUAGGCGGUUUUUUAAGUCAGUGGUGAAAGCUCCAUGCUCAACAUGGAAAUUGCCAUUGAUACUGAUGAACUUGAGUACACUUGAAGUGGGCGGAAUAUGUCAUGUAGAGGUGAAAUUCUUAGAGAUGACAUAGAACACCGAUUGCGAAGGCAGCUCACUAAAUUGUACUGACGCUGAGGCACGAAAGCGUGGGGAUCAAACAGGAUUAGAUACCCUUGUAGUC
rnacentral:rRNA from 1 species